rnacentral:rRNA from 1 species
UACAGAGGUCUCAAGCGUUGUUCGGAUUCAUUGGGCGUAAAGGGUGCGUAGGCGGCGCGGUAAGUCGGGUGUGAAAUCUCGGAGCUUAACUCCGAAACUGCAUUCGAUACUGCCGUGCUUGAGGACUGGAGAGGAGACUGGAAUUUACGGUGUAGCGGUGAAAUGCGUAGAUAUCGUAAGGAAGACCAGUGGCGAAGGCGGGUCUCUGGACAGUUCCUGACACUGAGGCACGAAGGCCAGGGGGAGCAAACGGG